UGGGGAAUCUUGCGCAAUGGGCGAAAGCCUGACGCAGCAACGCCGCGUGAGCGAAGACGGCCUUCGGGUUGUAAAGCUCUGUCAGGAGGGACGAAGCCACUCAGGUGAAUAGCCGAGAGGGUGACGGUACCUCCAGAGGAAGCCCCGGCUAACUACGUGCCAGCAGCCGCGGUAAUACGUAGGGGGCAAGCGUUGUCCGGAAUCAUUGGGCGUAAAGCGCGUGUAGGCGGCCAUCCAAGUCCGAUGUGAAAGCUCGGGGCUCAACCCCGAGUCUGCAUUGGAAACUGGCUGGCUUGAGUCCGGAAGAGGAGACUGGAAUUCCUGGUGUAGCGGUGAAAUGCGCAGAUAUCAGGAAGAACACCGGUGGCGAAGGCGGGUCUCUGGGACGGUACUGACGCUGAGACGCGAAAGCGUGGGGAGCAAACAGG
rnacentral:rRNA from 1 species